rnacentral:rRNA from 1 species
CCUACGGGGGGCUGCAGUGGGGAAUAUUGGACAAUGGGCGAAAGCCUGAUCCAGCAAUGCCGCGUGAGUGAUGAAGGCCUUAGGGUUGUAAAGCUCUUUUACCCGGGAUGAUAAUGACAGUACCGGGAGAAUAAGCUCCGGCUAACUCCGUGCCAGCAGCCGCGGUAAUACGGAGGGAGCUAGCGUUAUUCGGAAUUACUGGGCGUAAAGCGCACGUAGGCGGCUUUGUAAGUUAGAGGUGAAAGCCUGGGGCUCAACUCCAGAAUUGCCUUUAAGACUGCAUCGCUUGAAUCCAGGAGAGGUGAGUGGAACUCCGAGUGUAGAGGUGAAAUUCGUAGAUAUUCGGAAGAACACCAGUGGCGAAGGCGGCUCACUGGACUGUAUUGACGCUGAGGUGCGAAAGCGUGGGGAGCAAACAGGAUUAGAUACCCU